rnacentral:rRNA from 1 species
GCUUGUCUCAAAGAUUAAGCCAUGCAUGUCUAAGUAUAAACAACUUUAUACUGUAAAACUGCGAACGGCUCAUUAUAUCAGCAAUUAUUUAUUUGAUGGUCUCUUACUACAUGGAUAACUGUGGUAAUUCUAGAGCUAAUACAUGCGUAAAAUCCCGACUCUCGCGGGGAGGGAUGUAUUUAUUAGAUAACAGACCAGCAGCUUCGGCUAUUGUGGUGAAUCAUAGUAACUAAUCGGAUCGCAUGGGCUAGUCCCGCGACAAACCAUUCAAGUUUCUGCCCCAUCAGCUUUCGACGGUAGUGUAUUGGACUACCGUGGCUUUUACGGGUAACGGAGGAUUAGGGUUCGAUUCCGGAGAGGGAGCCUGAGAAACGGCUACCACAUCUAAGGAAGGCAGCAGG